rnacentral:piRNA from 1 species
UCUUCCAAGCCUAGCUGGCUUUUCAGGCU